GCGGGCGUGGCGGAAUUGGUAGACGCGCCGGAUUUAGGUUCCGGUGGAGCAAUCUGUGGGGGUUCGACUCCCUCCGCCCGCACCA
rnacentral:tRNA from 1 species